rnacentral:rRNA from 1 species
GAUGAACGCUGGCGGCGUGCCUAAUACAUGCAAGUCGAGCGAACAGAUGAGGAGCUUGCUCCUCUGACGUUAGCGGCGGACGGGUGAGUAACACGUGGAUAACCUACCUAUAAGACUGGGAUAACUUCGGGAAACCGGAGCUAAUACCGGAUAAUAUAUUGAACCGCAUGGUUCAAUAGUGAAAGACGGUUUUGCUGUCACUUAUAGAUGGAUCCGCGCCGCAUUAGCUAGUUGGUAAGGUAACGGCUUACCAAGGCAACGAUGCGUAGCCGACCUGAGAGGGUGAUCGGCCACACUGGAACUGAGACACGGUCCAGACUCCUACGGGAGGCAGCAGUAGGGAAUCUUCCGCAAUGGGCGAAAGCCUGACGCAGCAACGCCGCGUGAGUGAUGAAGGUCUUCGGAUCGUAAAACUCUGUUAUUAAGGAAGAACAAAUGUGUAAGUAACUAUGCACGUCUUGACGGUACCUAAUCAGAAAGCCACGGCUAACUACGUG